rnacentral:rRNA from 1 species
UAGGGAAUCUUCGGCAAUGGGGGGAACCCUGACCGAGCAACGCCGCGUGAGUGAAGAAGGUUUUCGGAUCGUAAAGCUCUGUUGUUAAGGAAGAACGAGUGUGAGAAUGGAAAGUUCAUGCUGUGACGGUACUUAACCAGAAAGGGACGGCUAACUACGUGCCAGUAGCCGCGGUAAUACGUAGGUCCCGAGCGUUGUCCGGAUUUAUUGGGCGUAAAGCGAGCGCAGGCGGUUAGAAAAGUCUGAAGUGAAAGGCAGUGGCUCAACCAUUGUAGGCUUUGGAAACUGUUUAACUUGAGUGCAGAAGGGGAGAGUGGAAUUCCAUGUGUAGCGGUGAAAUGCGUAGAUAUAUGGAGGAACACCGGUGGCGAAAGCGGCUCUCUGGUCUGUAACUGACGCUGAGGCUCGAAAGCGUGGGGAGCGAACAGG